rnacentral:misc_RNA from 1 species
GAUGAAGAACGCAGCGAAAUGCGAUAAGUAAUGUGAAUUGCAGAAUUCAGUGAAUCAUCGAGUCUUUGAACGCACAUUGCGCCCCCUGGUAUUCCGGGGGGCAUGCCUGUUCGAGCGUCAUUUCACCACUCAAGCCUCGCUUGGUAUUGGGCAACGCGGUCCGCCGCGUGCCUCAAAUCGUCCGGCUGGGUCUUCUGUCCCCUAAGCGUUGUGGAAACUAUUCGCUAAAGGGUGUUCGGGAGGCUACGCCGUAAAACAACCCCAUUUCUAAGGUUGACCUCGGAUCAGGUAGGGAUACCCGCUGAACUUAAGCAUAUCAAUAAGCGGAGGA